rnacentral:rRNA from 1 species
AUGAACGCUGGCGGCGUGCCUAAUACAUGCAAGUCGAGCGAACAGACGAGGAGCUUGCUCCUCUGACGUUAGCGGCGGACGGGUGAGUAACACGUGGAUAACCUACCUAUAAGACUGGGAUAACUUCGGGAAACCGGAGCUAAUACCGGAUAAUAUAUUGAACCGCAUGGUUCAAUAGUGAAAGACGGUUUUGCUGUCACUUAUAGAUGGAUCCGCGCCGCAUUAGCUAGUUGGUAAGGUAACGGCUUACCAAGGCAACGAUGCGUAGCCGACCUGAGAGGGUGGUCGGCUACACUGGAACUGAGACACGGCCCAGACUCCUGCGGGGGGCAGCAGUAGGGAAUCUUCCGGAAUGGGGGAGAGCGUGACGGUGCAACACCGCGUGAGGGAUGAAGGUGUUCGGAUCGGAGAGCGCUGUUGGUAGUGGGGAAGAAAUGUGUAUGUAACUAUGCACGUCUUGACGGUACCGGAUCAGAAAGCCACGGCUAACUACGUG